rnacentral:lncRNA from 1 species
CCUUUCUCCCUUGGAUCCGUAGCUGUCUCCCACUAUUUAUUUCUGUUUUCUUUCUUUUCUGCCUUUCAACCCCGUGAGUCUCUCCCUUUCCUCCUAUUUUUAUUCCAUUGUUAUGCCUUUCUUCCUGCCACAAAACAUGAAUCAUGAUGAUGUUUCAAACAUCAUCAUGAUUUAUCAUUAUUAUUUUUUUUAAUUAAUUUUAUUUAAAAGAUGAUCUACACAGACAGUUUGACGAAUUUAUUACAUAAAAUUUCACUUGUUCUAUUUUUAUUUUCUUUGCAUAACAAAUCCUAUAAACAC